CCUACGGGCGGCAGCAGUGGGGAAUAUUGCACAAUGGGGGAAACCCUGAUGCAGCGACGCCGCGUGAGCGAAGAAGUAUUUCGGUAUGUAAAGCUCUAUCAGCAGGGAUGAAAUUGACGGUACAUGAGUAAGAAGCUCCGGCUAACUACGUGCCAGCAGCCGCGGUAAUACGUAGGGCGGAAGCGUUAUCCGGAUUUAAUGGGUGUAACGGGAGCGUAGGCGGGCUGCCAAGUGUGAUGGGAAAUACCGGGGCUUAACCCAGGGGCUGCAUUGGAAACUGGAAGGCUGGAGUGCCGGAGAGGCAGGCGGAAUUCCUAGUGUAGCGGUGAAAUGCGUAGAUAUUAGGAGGAACACCAGUGGCGAAGGCGGCCUGCUGGACUGUGACUGACGUUGAGGCUCGAAAGCGUGGGGAGCAAACAGGAUUAGAUACCCGGGUAGUC
rnacentral:rRNA from 1 species